rnacentral:rRNA from 1 species
GCUGGCGGCACGCCUAACACAUGCAAGUCGAGCGCUCUCUUCGGAGGGAGCGGCGGACGGGUUAGUAACGCGUGGGAACGUACCCUUUUCUACGGAAUAGCCUCGGGAAACUGAGAGUAAUACCGUAUACGCCCUCCGGGGGAAAGAUUUAUCGGAGAAGGAUCGGCCCGCGUUAGAUUAGAUAGUUGGUGGGGUAAUGGCCUACCAAGUCUACGAUCUAUAGCUGGUUUGAGAGGAUGAUCAGCAACACUGGGACUGAGACACGGCCCAGACUCCUACGGGAGGCAGCAGUGGGGAAUCUUAGACAAUGGGCGCAAGCCUGAUCUGGCGAUGCCGCGUGAGUGACGAAGGUCUUAGGAUCGUAAAGCUCUUUCGCCGGGGAAGAUAAUGACUGUACCCGGUAAAGAAGUCCCGGCUAACUCCGUGCCAGCAGCCGCGGUAAUACGGAGGGGACUAGCGUUGUUCGGAAUUACUGGGCGUAAAGCGCACGUAGGCGGAUUAGUCAGUCAGAGGUGAAAUCCCAGGGCUCAACCCUGGAACUGCCUUUGAUACUGCUAGUCUUGAGUUCGAGAGAGGUGAGUGGAAUUCCGAGUGUAGAGGUGAAAUUCGUAGAUAUUCGGAGGAACAC